UCGGGAAUAUUGCGCAAUGGAGGAAACUCUGACGCAGUGACGCCGCGUGCAGGAAGAAGGUUUUCGGAUUGUAAACUGCUUUUAGACAGGGAAGAAAAAAGACAGUACCUGUAGAAUAAGCUCCGGCUAACUACGUGCCAGCAGCCGCGGUAAUACGUAGGGAGCAAGCGUUAUCCGGAUUUAUUGGGUGUAAAGGGUGCGUAGACGGGAAAGCAAGUUAGCUGUGAAAUCCCUCGGCUCAACCGAGGAACUGCAGCUAAAACUACUAUUCUUGAGUGCUGGAGGGGAAAGUGGAAUUCCUAGUGUAGCGGUGAAAUGCGUAGAUAUUAGGAGGAACACCAGUGGCGAAGGCGACUU
rnacentral:rRNA from 1 species